rnacentral:rRNA from 1 species
GAUGAACGCUGGCGGCGUGCCUAAUACAUGCAAGUCGAGCGAACAGACGAGGAGCUUGCCCCUCUGACGUUAGCGGCGGACGGGUGAGUAACACGUGGAUAACCUACCUAUAAGACUGGGAUAACUUCGGGAAACCGGAGCUAAUACCGGAUAAUAUAUUGAACCGCAUGGUUCAAUAGUGAAAGACGGUUUUGCUGUCACUUAUAGAUGGAUCCGCGCCGCAUUAGCUAGUUGGUAAGGUAACGGCUUACCAAGGCAACGAUGCGUAGCCGACCUGAGAGGGUGAUCGGCCACACUGGAACUGCGACACGGUCCAGACUCCUACGGGAGGCAGCAGUAGGGAAUCUUCCGCAAUGGGCGAAAGCCUGACGGAGCAACGCCGCGUGAGUGAUGAAGGUCUUCGGAUCGUAAAACUCUGUUAUUAGGGAAGAACAAAUGUGUAAGUAACUAUGCACGUCUUGACGGUACCUAAUCAGAAAGCCACGGCUAACUACGUG